GACGAACGCUGGCGGCGUGCUUAACACAUGCAAGUCGAACGGAAAGGCCCUGCUUUUGUGGGGUGCUCGAGUGGCGAACGGGUGAGUAACACGUGAGUAACCUGCCCUUGACUUUCGGAUAACUUCAGGAAACUGGGGCUAAUACCGGAUAGGAUCUCCUGCUGCAUGGUGGGCGUUGGAAAGUUUCGGCGGUUGUGGAUGGACUCGCGGCUUAUCAGCUUGUUUGUGGGGUAGUGGCUUACCAAGGCUUUGACGGAUCGCCGGCCUGAGAGGGUGGACGGCCACAUGGGGACUGAGGUACGGCCCAGACGCGAACGGGAGGCAGUAGGGGGAAACAUGGCACAAUGAGCGGAAGUCUGAGGCAGAAGCGCCGGGUGCGGGAUGACGGCUUGCGGGUUGUAAACCGCUUUCGCCUGAGACGAAGCGUGAGUGACGGUAAUGAGUAAAGAAGCACCGGCUAACUACGUG
rnacentral:rRNA from 1 species